GGCUGCCUUAAUCGACAUCCACGUCAUCGGCGCCCGGGGAACAGUUGUUGUUGGGGGUUAACUGCCUUGGAGGGCAGAACGGCAGAUUUUUAUCUUGUCGAUUUGGGAAUUUGAUCUACACAGCCAUGUCUUCAGGGCAAAAACUACAGGAUGCUGCUGUGGGUUCACAUGGUUCACAUGGUGUCGCUGACUGUCUCCGUUUUUCCUCCAGAUAACAUCUCUGCAGAUGACAUGAUGCACAAAGAGACCAACUUGGAUGAGAGCAUGGAGAAGAUCGAGGCCAUCAAAUUCUACGAGGUGUAAGAGGUGGCCUGCAUUAUGUUAUGCUGUUACCGCGCGGGUCACGUCCUGGGCACAGCCAUGUUUAUGAUGGAGAUAGCAGGGGUAAAAGUGAGUACUGAGUUUAGAAAAUAAGAGCUUUUUCAACUUCUUCUUGAAAAGUUCCAUGAUUUCCCCUGAUUUUGUCCAGUUUUAUUAUUCUUGAAUAUCUCCUCAUCUCCACCUUGUUUUUGUAGAUGUGCCUUUAUAAAGUGUAAUAAUCAUCUCCCCAAUGCAUCACAUAGAUACAGAAUGUGUUGUUUAUUCUGGCCAGUAGAUGGCACCCAUAUGCUGGACAAAUGUUCCUGUUCAAGGCCAUUCAUGUGAUGUUGUUUUCCAUGUCUCAUCCUCGUGUUUGCCUUGGGAAAAGGCCAGGAAUUUCUGCUCAUCCUGGGUGAGAUUCUCCAACCAGUCCCCACUUCAGCCUGCUUAUAGAGCAGGGAUCUUCCUCUGUUCUAUAGCUCCAGUCACUCUCAAUCAUGGAAGAGUUCAUUAGGAACCAAACGACACCUGGCCUCCAAUCAGAAACGCACUUUAAAAAGUUUUCCGUUGCGUGCUCUAAUGAGCACAAUCCUUCUCUAGUGUGUGUUUUUUUUCUAGAGGUGUACUAGCAGAACCACCCGGAGCGUCACGACAUUCCCGUCUAGUACGCAUAGUCUCUGGCUGAAAGAAGUGCUGCUUACCAGACCUACAUCAACGCUGUGAACGACAAGAUCCGCAAGGCCAUCAAUGUCAACAACCCCUUUGUCUUCAAGCACAUCAGCAACCUCAUGAGUAGUCAAGAUCGGACCAACACGCAGCGUGAGUAUGGACCACUGAUGACGGCGGCCCAGUGUGGUGAUGGCGUCUCCAGGUAUGAUGCAGCGCAGUCUGUCCUGAGAGUUGAUCGAGAGCUGCUGCACCGACAAAAGGAACUAUCAUCAUCGCCGUAUACUGCGUGGAGGAUACCCUCACCAAGUUGGGGCUCAGUCUUCAACACGUCUUAAGUUGCCCUUUUAAAGCAGACAUUGCUCAGUCACGGUGACACGUUACACCAACAAUAACCCUACAGUGUGGAUUCAUUUCAAGCCAAACUUUGUGAUGAAAUAUUUAUUAUAAUCAAAUGACAGAUAAAGAACACAAUUUAACAGAAUUAAGUAAAUUAAAGACCAAGCUAUGAGUGUG